GCCCCCAUAGUUCAACGGACAGAAUAAUUCCGUCCUAAGGAAUAGAUGACCGUUCGAUUCGGUCUGGGGGCG
rnacentral:tRNA from 7 species